UUUUUUUUUUUUUUUUUUUUUUUUUUUGUUUAAAUUCAAGAAGCUAUGGUAGCAAUUAAACUCAAUAUACCUAGCUAGCUUGGUAAUGCAAGUACUAGCUCUUCAUGUCUACCCAUCCAAUUGGAGACAACUAAUUAAAUCUGAGGUUAUUCUAAUUUCAUGUUAAUGGUUAUCCCACCAUUUGAGGGUGGGUUGUAGUAUUGAUAAAUUUCUAUUAUGGGUUUAUUGUAAUCUUAUUAUUAGAAAAAAAAAUGCAUAGUUAGAAGGCACUGGACAUGGAUAUGUGAAUGAGUUAGGUAUUAUCAAAAUCCCAUCAAAAUGUAUCAUUUUUUGAUUUAUAUGUGUAAGUCUAAAUUUACAAUUCCACCCCUAUCCAAACCUAGAACCAACGAGAUUUAAUCCUUCGCUUCAAAUUUAUAAAUCUAAAUAGCAAGGGAUAUCAAGUAUUGAUCCCACGAGAAAGAGUGAAGAGUGAUCUAUUACCGAUAGCAGUUAAACUUCUUUAUUAUUUAGACAAAUACAAGUACAAGAAAUUAAAUAUAUACUACAAACAUACAAUAAAAGAAAGUAAAAAUUACAGUUAAAGGUUUCCAAGGUUAUGGAAUUCUUAACUUCUUUUACAAUUGAAUGAGUGUUAUUAUCUUGGUUAAGUUAUGAUAUAAUUUCCUAAUAUACGCGAUAUCUAUUUUUACUAGUGUACUGAUCACACUUGUAACAAAUCCAUAUGUGCUUUCAUGGUCACGAAACUAGCUACAGGUUUAUUAGAUUCUACAAAAUUAUAUGGUACAAAAUCACAAAGGUGCACCUUUAUUUUUGUUAGUAUACUACCUAAAUUUAACGCUUCCUUGAACUAGCAUUAAAUCCCAACUUUUAUUGGUGAUUCAAUACUUUUAUAUUAUCAUAACUAAUGGCCUAUUAAUCAUGAUUAGAUAAGCAAAAAUACUAAAUAAUUUGUUCCAAAAAAAAUAGCAUCAAAUAACCAAACAAACAACACAAACAAUCAUAGAACAUGCAUAGAACGCAUGAACUCAGAGGCUCAAUCCUAUAAUGAGAAGCUGAUGAAGCUGCUAUCCCACCUCCUGUCAAAAUUUCCAGGGAGCAAAUUUGUAUAUACAGACACCUAUAAUCCACUAAUGGACACGAUUAGGCAUCCUCAAAGAUACCGUUAGUGCCACUUGUAAUUACAAACUUCUCAAUAAAUCUCACCUGUCAAGAAAAUAUGUUUCUUCAAUUAUCUACCUUGCAUUGAAGCAAUCAACUGCUUUCUCAAUAGAGCUAAAACGUUAAAAUUGGUAUUGCCAGGAAUUGUGGAAACUACAAGAGGAUGUUGUGGAACUGGAUAUAUGGAAAGCGGAUGGCCAUCGUGUAAUCCUCUCACUCCUGUAUGUAGGAACUUUUCACAGCACUUAUUUUGGGAUGUUGAUUAUUGCACCGAAGCUGCCUAUAAGUAUCUGUCAGAUUCUAUGCUAAAGGAAUACAUUCCUUAGUUCAUUAAAAUUCAACCCUAAAUUUAUAGAGACUUUGGUCUACACCAAAAAAAUAGAAAUAGUAAUGACUGUAAAAAAUCUCAGUGAUAACGGGUAUUGGCAAUGCCUUACUGGUUGUUUGGUUUUGAAAAGGUAAGGAAUGUGGCAUCAUGCAAUAACAUAAGGAGGUUACAAGUAAUUUACCCUCGGCGAAAAGAAGUAUUGGCAUUUUUUUUAGGUGAAGACACUGUGACCAGUUAUAGAGUAGCUCUUGUUGGGAUCUAGACAUGAAAUAAACUGCUACGAAGAUAUCAAGUACACAAAUUUAAUGACAAAUAAGUCAUAAGUAUGAAAGAUAAACGAUACAUAAGAUUUAACAUAUUUCGACUCUAUCAUUGAGUUUACAUCUAUGGAGAGAACACCUGUUCUUUAUCAUGAGAGAAAAAUUCACUACAACUUGAACCGAGACCCAAUUCUUGUAUAAUUUCUCUCGCCUUCCAAAAUUUCUCUCUUACCUUAUGUGGAAAACUAAGUGUUGCCCCUUGUGUGUCACUUUGCAGUAUGACAAUCCUCACAUAUUUAUAAGCUACAUUAUUUAACCAACAUUCAAAUAAUAAUAGGGAAUAACUACUAAUUCCUAAUUUUAUACAAGAUAGGAAAUAAUUCCUAAUUCUUAGACUACUAUUUCAAGUAAUUAAAAUAAUGAAGAAAAAUUACUUCCACACAAAAUAAGAAACCUGUUUAAAAGAAAUUAAAUCAAUUUAUUGAUAAAUCUCCAUCUUGGCGAAUAAUUCUUUUAGCAACCAUUUGUAUUGAACUACCAAUUAAUAUGAUACCAAAGUAUACAUCUGAAUUACCCGAGUCCUAUUUCUAGUUAACUCACGAGAAAUAUCUCAAUUCACUAUCUCCCUUUAUAGGAUUUUUUCUCACCACCACUUACAAUAAGGGAUCCAUUUUAGUUAGCUCUAUUUCUCCUUGAGACAAUCAAGUGAUAAAAUCACCAUACUUCUUCCCAUCUUCAAGAUUGUCUUGCCAGUUGAGAAUAAUUUGAAUUCAACAUGACAAGUUGUACAGGAUUACUCCAAAAUUCUAUUUAAUUUACACUAUUUAAUGGUACGACCCCAAAUCCCACAGGUAUCCUUUAUUCAUGCUAUAGCCUUUUGUGAUGGAAUUGGUUUCGUGUGGAGAUUACUACUGUUGCAGGUACAAGAAGAUGCUAAGAAAGUGUACUUGCCUCCAGAAGCUGAGCAUUCGACUAGGCCUGCCAGCGGGUCAAGUUUUGGUAAGAUUUCGGAUCCGAAUCCAUUAUAACGUACCUGUUUUGGAUUCGAUCCGUAUGUACCCGACAGGUCUUGUACUUAGGAUCUCGGAAUCAGAUCCGAGGUUGGGUCCAAAUUUACUCAAGAAAAUAAGACCCAACAAAAAUAAGGUUUAGGACAACCUACAAAUUAAGAAGUUUGUAAAAAUGAACUAGGUCAUUUCAAAAUUAAAUCCAAAAUUAACCACAAAUCAAUUUCCAAACUUAAACAAAUCAAAUUACAAAACUAAAUCACAAAUCACUCACAAUAGUCAUUCCAAAACCAAUCACAAAUCAAUCUACAAAGUCAUUACUAAAUCUAAGAGAACAUUAAAUAUCAAAUACAUCAUCCAAGCAUUUUUAAAAGCCCUCAAUGCAAUUCUUAAAGUUCUUGAAGUUCUAUUGUCUUGUAACAGAAUUAUUAUAUUGUAUUUAGAAAUAUUUAUAUUUUUAUAAUUAUUAAUGUAUCGCCUGGAUCCGAAUCAGAUACAGAUCAAAAUCCCAUUUCCGAUCUGCUUUUUUUUUAGAGUAAACAGUUACGAUUAUGAGUCCGGAUAUGAGUAACAGAAUUAUUUCUCAACCAGCAUCAGAUAAAAACUACCAAGCCCAAGCCGGAUCCAGGUCCAAAUCUGGACCGUUGACAGCCCUACAUUCGACCAUAUUCGACCAUGGUAAUAUUGACGGUAUGACAGACUGAAAGUCUGAAGUGUCUACCAUCAGCUUAAACAGUCAACAAUAGACAAAAAUCGAAAACAAGAUGAACAGAUGAGAAUUUCACAUGAGCGAAGGGUGAAAACACAAAAAGACGAAAAGUUUCUUGUUCCAGUCUAGGAAGCCAAUUACAAUCAACUAAUUCUAGACACCAGCAGAAAGAAUUGAAUUGAGAAGCCAAGUAGUAAAUGAUGCUAAAGACAACUUUGAUACAUUCUCAAACAAACAAGUCUUAAGAAAUCACGCAUGUCUAGCAAAACAUCUUAUUAAUCCUAUCCUCUACAUUUGACAUUUCACACAAGUAUGAAUACAAAAUGUUACAAGAAAGGUAUACAUUGAUCCACCAAAUCCUUGCUGGUAAUUUGAGUUGGAUCAUACUGCAAUGAAUAUAUCAGGAAAUCGACGUCCGAAUUUUGAGAAUGAACACUACAAAAAAAUAAGAUCUCUCCCA
rnacentral:lncRNA from 1 species